UCCCCAAGACCUAAAUAAUUUUA
rnacentral:misc_RNA from 1 species